rnacentral:rRNA from 1 species
GGAAAGGCUUACGGUGGAUACCUAGGCACCUAGAGACAAGGAAGGGCAUAAUAAACGAUGAAAUGCUUCAAGAAGUUGAAAAUAAGCGUAGAUCCAGAGAUUCCUAGAUAGGUCAACUUUUCGAACUACUGCUGAAUCCAUGGGCAGGCAAGAGACAACCUGGCGAAUUGAAACAUCUUAAUAGAUAGAGGAAAAGAAAGCAAAAGCGAUUCCCGUAGUAGCAGUGAGCGAAAUGAGAGCAGCUUAAACCGUGAAAAUGGGUUGUGGGAGAGCAAUACAAGGGUCGUGCUGCUAGGUGAAGCGGUGGAGUGCUGCACCCUAGAUGGAGAGAGUCCAGUAGCCGAAAGUAUCACUAGCUUAUGCUCUGACCCGAGUAGCAUGGGACACAUGGAAUCCUGUGUGAAUCAGUAAGGACCACCUUGUAAGGCUAAAUACUCCUGGGUGACUGAUAGUGAAGUAGUACCAUGAGGGAAGGGUGGAAAAAAACCCCAUCGGGGAGUGAAAUAAAUCAUGAAAUCAUAAGCUCCCAAGCAAUGGGAGAAGAUCAAGGCUUUGAUUGUGUGCCUGUUGAAGAAUGAGUCGGUGACUUAUAGGUAGUGGCUUGGUUAAAGGAACCCACCGGAGCUGUAGCAAAAGCAAGUCUUCAUAGGGAAAUUGUCACUGCUUAUGGACCCGAACCUAGGUGAUCUAUCCAUGACUAGGAUGAAGCUUAGGUGAAACUAAGUGGAGGUCUGAACCAAUUGAUGUUGAGGAAUUAACAGAUGAGUUGUGGUUAAGGGUGAAAUGCCAUUCGAACCCAGAGCUAGCUGGUUCUCCGCGAAAUGCGUCGAGGCACAACAGUUGACUAGACAUCUAGGGGUAAAGCAUUGUUUCAGUGCGGGCCACGAGAGCGGUACCAAAUUGAGGCAAACUCUAAAUACUAGAUAUUGCCUCAAAAUAACAUGGGUCAAGGUUGGCCAGUGAGACGAUGGGGGAUAAGCCUCAUCGUCAAGAGGGAAACAGCCCAGAUCACCAGCUAAGGCCCCUAAAUGACCGGUCAAUGAUAAAGGAGGUAGGGGUGUAGAGACAGCCAGAAGGUUUGGUUAGAAGCAGCCACCCUUGAAAGAGUGCGUAAUAGCUCACUGAUCCAGCACUCUUGCGCUGAAGAUGAACGGAGCCAAGCGAUCUGUCGAAGCUAUGAGAUGUAAAAAUGCAUCGAUUGGGGAGUGUUCCGCUUCCAAGGAAGCACCUGCGUGAGCCGUGGUAGAUGAAGCAAAAGCUAGAAUGUCAACUUGAGUAAUACAAACAUUGGUAAGAAUCCAAUGCCCCGAAAACCUAAGGGUUCCUCUGCAAGGUUCAUCCAUGGAGGGUGAGUCACGGCCUAAGAUCAUGCUGAAAGGAAUAGUCGACGGACAACAUAUAAAUAUUCCUGUACUAUCCCUUGUUGGUCUCGAGGGAUGGAGGAGGCUAGGUUAGCCGAAAGAUGGUUAUCGAUUCAAGGAUGCAAGAUGCCCCUGCUUUUUUCAAGGUAAGAAAGGGUAGAGAAAAUGCCAUGAGCCAAUGUUUGAGUAAUAGGCGCUACGGCGCUAAAGUAACCCAUGCCAUACUCUAAGGAAAAGCUCAAACGACCUUCAACAAAAGGGUACCUGUGCCCGAAACAAACACAAUUGCGUAGGUAGAGUAUACAUAGGGGCGCGAGACAACUCUCUCUAAGGAACUCAAUAAAAUAGCCCCGUAACUUGAGAAGAAGGGGUGCCUCCUCAUAAAGGGGGUCGCAGUGACCAGGCCCGGGCGACUGUUCACCAAAAACACAGGUCUCUGCAAAGUCAUAAAACCAUGUAUUUGGGCUGACGCCUGCCAGUGCUGGAAGGUCAAGGAAGUUAGUGACCUGAUGAUAGGGGAGCUGGCAACCAAAGCCUCGGUGAACGGCGGCCAUAACUAUAAUGGUCCUGAGGUAGUGAAAUUCCUCGUCGUGUAACAAUCUGGGCACUGUCUCAGAGAGAGGCUCAGUGAAAUAGACAUGUCUGUGAAGAUGUGGACUACCUGCACCUGGACAGAAAGAACCUAUGAAGCUUCACUAUUCCCUGGGAUUGGCUGUGGGCCUUUCCCGCGCAACUUAGGUGGAGGGCAAAGAAUGCCUCCUUCUUGGGGGGCCCGAGCCAUCAAUGAGAUACCAUUCUGGAAGAGCUAGAAUUCUAACCUUGUGUCAGGACCUACGGGCCAAAGGAUAGUCUCAGGUAGAUAGUUUCUAUUGGGAGCAGGCCUCUUGAAAGGUAACAAAGGUGUGCAAAGGUUUCCUCAGGCCAGAUGGAGAUUGGCCCUCUAGUGCAAAGGCAGAAGGGAGCUUGACUGCAAGACCCACCCAUUGAGCAGGGACGAAAGUCAGCCUACUGAUCCAACAAUGCCUAAUGGAAGAGCCAUCACUCAACGGAUAAAAGUUACUCUAAGGAUAACAGGCUGAUCUUCCCCAAGAUCUCACACCGAUGGGAAGGUUUGGCACCUCGAUGUUGGCACUUCGCCACCUGGGGCGGUAGUAUGUUCCAAAGGUUAGGCUGUUCACCCACUAAAGCGGUACGUGAGCUGGGUUCAGAACGUCGUGAGACAGUUCGGUCCAUAUCCGAUGUGGGCGUUAGAGCAUUGAGAGGACCUUUGUAACAGCCCAAUCCACCCACAUGCGAUAUUGUCCGCUUUGGGCCCAGCCCGCACGAAUUUGUCAAAACGCAUCACAUGGGAAAGGUAUCCACACCCUCUUUAAGGCAUGCUUUGUUCCCCUUUCCAACCGAUGUGGGAUCUCACAAUCCUCCCCCCUUGGGGCCCAGCAUCCUCGCUGGCAUACCGAUCCGGGUACUAACUCUGAUACCAACUGUCAGCACCUGUCCAAAAUUCCUCACC